CCUUGUGUUCUGUCCAUUGAUGACUGAGGUUACAUUACAUUUGACUUCCUCGAUCUCACUGACGGUAGCUGUCAAACAAUCCAUCUCUUUGACAAUUGUAGGUGUGCCUAUCACUUGAAGUGGAUUCAAGUCAUUCCACAUUCCCGUCUGCCCCCCCCCCCCCCAAAAAAAAAAAAAAAAAAAAAAAAAAAAAAAAAGAGUUUUCAUUCAAAUUACAGAGCAAAAAGGUUCAAGUGACCUACCUGUAUGAAAUACUUUUCUUGCUCUUCAGCAAAAGGCUUUGUUAAAACGCUCAUAUCAACGCCGUAGUAGGUUUUGAUCUCAUCUGAAAAGUUAUCCCAAUCCGCCAUUGCCCCAUCCAAAUCACUCUUCUUCNNNNNNNNNNNNNNNNNNNNNNNNNNNNNNNUUCUUCCGAUCUGCCAUGUUAGACUUGAUAGGUGCAAACCACAUGCGAGCAUGACUAGGGUACCUAUUGGUAACAACAUUAUUAGUUUACAAUAACAACAAACCCAAACCAAACUAUGAUGCAUAUUUCAAAUAACAGAAAUCAACUUACAUGACACCGGUGGGCUUCAACCAACGGUCACGAGCACAAAUCACAGAAUCAAACAUGGACUCACGAAGAAGGAAGUAUCCCAUCCACUCCGAGAUAAUCACAUCAACUGCCCGUCAAAUUGAAUACAUAUAACAACAUAUCAGAUUCAUGUAAUGUAUAAUACUCAAAACCAAAAUUAAAAACAAUACCUUUCUCAGGCAAAGAGAUAUCUUCGACAGAACCUUGAAUGACUUCAACAACAUGUUCAAGAUUGUUAGCUUUGACAAGAGCACGAGCAUGAUCAGCCAUUGAAGUAGCUUCAAC
rnacentral:lncRNA from 1 species